AGCAAUAUCAUCAAUCAUGCAUAUUACCUCGCUUAUUAGCAAGGCACUAAUUGACUGGAUGAAAAUCCAGGCUGCUGUUCCAAAAGCACUACUGCUGCAGUGAAUUUAGGCAUGAAACGAAUGGCACUACUUACAUGGCGUAAGGUAUCCAUGUGCUUCACAGUUUAGCAUACGAAGCACUACUGCAUUUGAAAAGCAGUUCAACGCCAAUACCUACUUACAGCCACCAGCAGGCCCACAAGGUUGAAUUAUCUGCAUCCUCUCUCUCGUUACUGAAACACAACGCCCUACCAAAAUGAAACCGCUUUAAGAGCGCUCUCAACGCGAUCUUAAGCCAUAUAAAGCACAAGUAGAUGCCGCUGUUAAGAGCGUUCUGAGAACGCUCUUAUCUGCCAUGUUUUAAGAUUGUGCCUUCUCAAGCGUUCUUAAGCGAUCUCAAGAGAGCGCUCUUUGCAGGGAAUCUUAAGCGUUCUCAGCGAUCUUACCCGUUCUCAAGGACAUUCUCAAACCAUUUUCUCACGCAUUCUUAAGCAAUCUUUCACCACUCUUAAGCGUUCUUACACCGUUCUCUCACCAAUCUUAAGCGUUCUUAAAGCGUUCUCAAGCGUUCUUACACCGUUCUCUCACCAUUCUUAAGCGUUCUUACAGUGUUCUCAAGCAUUCUUACAGCGUUCUCUCACCAUUCUUAAGCGUUCUUACAGCGUUCUCAAGCGUUCUUACAGCGUUCUCUCACCAUUCUUAAGCGUUUUUACAGCGUUCUUACACCGUUCUCUCACCAUUCUUAAGCGUUCUUACAGCAUUCUCACAGCGUUCUUAUAGCGUUCUCACAGCAUUCUCAAGUGUUCUUACAACAUUCUCAAGCGUUCUCACAGCAUUCUCAAGUAUUCUUGCAGCGUUCUCAAGCGUUGUUACAGUGUUCUCAAGCAUUCCGUCCCCCAGCAUUCUUAAACCGUUCUUAAGGGCGCCUUCGAACAGAGGUAUGCCCAACAAAAACCUAGGGCCACCAUCUCGCUAGAGCCCGAUUCUCACAGCAGACCACUUUCCCAUUCGGGCAGACACACAUAUGAGGACCAGGUCCACCAUGCCAGCACUUAUACCUACAACAUAUCUACAAUCACACGCUCGAUCCAUGCUGGAACUGCAUAUGGUACUGCAGCAUACCAAAUGAAUGAGUGUUAUGAUGGAUCCCUGAACGCGAUCACAAGGCCUAUGCUAAGGGGCUCGCAACUAGGCGCAUGGACAGGACAGCCCAAUAGCCAAGUACAGCCCCACACACCGCCUACACUUCCCACA
rnacentral:lncRNA from 1 species